rnacentral:rRNA from 1 species
GCCAGACUCCUACGGGAGGCAGCAGUGGGGAAUAUUGCGCAAUGGGCGAAAGCCUGACGCAGCGACGCCGCGUGAGGGAUGAAGGUCUUCGGAUCGUAAACCUCUGUCAGCAGGGAAGAACGGUCACUGUGCUAAUCAGCAGUGAAUUGACGGUACCUGCAAAGGAAGCACCGGCUAACUCCGUGCCAGCAGCCGCGGUAAUACGGAGGGUGCGAGCGUUAAUCGGAAUUACUGGGCGUAAAGCGCUCGUAGGCGGUAUGUCAAGUCAAGGGUGAAAUCCCCGCGCUCAACGUGGGAACUGCCUUUGAAACUGGCAAACUGGAGUGUGUGAGAGGAUAGUGGAAUUCCAGGUGUAGGAGUGAAAUCCGUAGAUAUCUGGAGGAACAUCAGUGGCGAAGGCGACUAUCUGGCACAUAACUGACGCUGAGGAGCGAAAGGGGGGGGGGGGGGGGGGGGGGGGGGGGGCGGUAGU